GCGGCGGCGACGGCGACAGCGGGCUCCCGGCGCGCGGCCGGCAGCACCACUGGCAGCGUAACCACCAGCUGCCGCCGGGCCUUGUUGAAUUGUGCCUUGCCGCGGCCAUCGUCCACUGGGUACGGGAGCGAGAGCCGCAGCCGGUAGUCAGGUUUCCUCGAGUCGAGGCACAGCAGCUUUCUCGUUACCUCCAGCGCCGCCUGCUCGGCCGAGCGCAACAGCGGCAGUUCGAUGGUGAUCACCAGCUCAUGGGGCACGGGGCUCGGGGCUGAGUCCCUGGAGCAGCGGUAAUCCUGGAGGUCCACGUGGUGGCGCUGCACCACGCUGUAGCGAGGCUCGGUGGGGGCGGGCUGCAAGGCCGC
rnacentral:lncRNA from 1 species